AUACGUGGUAAAGGCAAGCGUUGUCCGGAUUUAUUGGGCGUAAAGCGAGCGCAGGCGGUUUUUUAAGUCUGAUGUGAAAGCCUUCGGCUCAACCGAAGAAGUGCAUCGGAAACUGGGAAACUUGAGUGCAGAAGAGGACAGUGGAACUCCAUGUGUAGCGGUGAAAUGCGUAGAUAUAUGGAAGAACACCAGUGGCGAAGGCGGCUGUCUGGUCUGUAACUGACGCUGAGGCUCGAAAGUAUGGGUAGC
rnacentral:rRNA from 1 species